rnacentral:ncRNA from 2 species
AAAAAUUAGUUAGGACUCUUACUUGGAUCUGCAAUUAGUAUUUUAAUCAUAGAUUGUAUUUAGUUUUCAGUACUAACUGCAGAUUCAAGUGAGGGUUCUAACCCUAACCUCU